GAAGGAGAGGGAGUUAGAGAGUGAGAGGGAGGGAGGGAGAAAGGGAGGGAAGGAGAGAAACUGUCUUAUUGAGGAAGAAUUUAAACGGUCCUUGGUGCAUGCCUGUCCCCUUUUCGCCUUGAUCUGUAUGCACAGGAGAAACAGAACGGCCUGUACCAGCCCACAGAUAAAGGAAUGAAGAAAAAGUGCUGGCUCAGCCAGGCAGUGAGGGAGGAAGGAGGAGGGGAGCUGAGAGAGCUCUGAACAAUAGACACUUGCCUUCUUGCUCUGGCCUCCAUGGUAAAUUGGGGCGGGAAGGGGGGUGUCUAGGGCUUCCUGCCCAGCAUCCAUAUCCCCAAGCAGGCAAAGCCCCAAAGCUUCAAGAAAUCGGGUCAGCCAGAGCAUGAAUACCUGUCUUCAAAAUACCCCACUGCCUCCAGACAGCACUUUCCCAGCCACAGGCCCCAGCUUCCCAGUGUCAGCCCCUCCUCCACACCUGAUCUUGCUGAGCCCAGAAAUGCCAGAACUCAGCUGGGGUAGCACACAUAUUCCUGCUCUCACCCCAUUCACAGCCCCUGGGGUCAAAGUUGUGGGUGUCCUUAGCAGAAGAUCCCCUUUGUCCACUGAGCCAACCCAUGUCAUCCUUACAGGCCAAACAAUGUCGCCUCUAACCCCAAUGUCCUCAGGGACUGACCCUCCAGCUCACUCUCUCUGAACUCAACCUUCCUAAUGGUGUGACCCUUCAAUACAGUUCCUCAUGCCACAGUGAUCUCCCCACCAUAAAAUUAUCCCAUCGCUACUUCUUAACUGCAGUUUUGCGACUGGUUAUGAAUCAUUAUGUAAAUAUUUGCGUUUUCUGACUGUCUUAGGUGACCCCUAUGAAAGGGUCAUUCGACCCCAAAGGGGUUGCAACCCAUAGAUUGAGAACCCCUGCUCUAACUAUGCUCUAAGAGAGCUAUGGCGAGACCUCACUAAUAAGACCAGACUACAACCCAACAAUUCAUUGAGCACCUACUCUACAACAAACACAGGAAAGCCCUUUAUCCUCAGGCUCUGCUGACUUCAGUUCUCACAAAAUACUCCCCUCCACACACAACAUAAACCCCUAGCUCUCCUCCAAAGCCUUGGGCUUCCCCCACCACCGCCACCACCACCUAAUGGCCGGAAGCAAGCAUUCACUUUCCUUGCCCUACAACGAAGAAGCCGCCUCUAGGUUCUGACCACACAGUUCUCACCAGGACUGUGGAGCUGUGGACCGCAGGCCCCACAUACUGGCUCUUAAGAACAACUACCUAGCGGUCCCCAGGACACGGGUGUCUCACUGGGGAGAUCGAUUACUGUCUCGUGUCUCAGAACUGAGACUGCAGCUUCCUGGUCACUGAGCGAGGCUGGAUUCCGGGCUGGACUGGUAAUUCUACAGGAAGUGAGCAUGGCCACAGCCUGAGAGACUACCUUGCAGCUCAGCAGCCCAGUCUGUGUAGACACCCCUUCCUCAGCAAGGGACCGCCUUUGCCUCUCCCACUUAUCCACAGGUCACCGUGUCACCGACUGUGAUUACUGCUGAAUAUACGAUGCCACUGGCAACUACCUCUACCUUUCAAAGACACAAAACAUCCUGCCCAUCCCGGGACCCUCUGAACACAAGGCUUUUUGUUGUUUUGGUUUUCUGUUUUUUGGAUCUGUUUGUUUUCUGUUUGUUUGUAUUCCCUCCCUCAGGCACCUGAGAUGAUGUGCUUCUCAGGUCACCCAGUCUGGAUUUCCUCACUGCUGCCUGCAGAAGAGGAAGGCGCCAAGGUCACCAGACCCCUCCUCACUUCAUCUCCUUAGAGUCCAGAAUCACACCAGCUGAAACCCUCCGAACUAGGUCAUCCCUUCUAACCAGCAUCCCUCCUCUCCCUGAAGCCCUGUGCUCACUCGUGAGAGUUCUACCCAGGCCACGGGUGACCUCAGCUGUGGGAGACAGUGUAUCUGCAUCCUGGGCUUUGUGACUCUCCAACAGGAAUGGCCCCAAGACAUCGGGCUGGAGUCUAACCGAACAAGCCCGGAAAGCCCUUUCUCAUCCCUAAAGUAGAAACAGCUGUAACAGUUGGCCUGACUGCUCCUAUGCUCCCUGUCAGAAGUACUCAGUGAGAUCUAUAUUUGCAUGUAAGAAUCACUGGCCUUGUACUGCAUUUGACCCUGCGGAGGACAGAACAUCAAAUUAUGGAGACAGCGCUGAGGCUCAGAGCUGGUUAACUCAGAGGUACAGCAGGCAGCUGAGAGCCAGACUGGGGAACCCAAUACAGGCAGGGAAGGAGUCAGUUCCGUUCCUAGAUGGUGGCACUUAGAGAUACUGCUGAUGCGAAUAACUCAUGAGACCAAGACUGCUGACUGUCCUCCCUACCCAAGAUCUCCUGCUGAGCCCCGAGGCUCUGGGUCCCAGACGCACACACCUGACCUUCCUUCUAUGCCUCAAGAGUUGGGAAGAGACAUGUCAACAGGAGUGGGGAGGACACAUCCCACCUUCUCCUCAGAGUCUUCAGCCACACCCAUGAGUCUCGUGGAGACAAGAGAUACAGACAAGCCCUGUGCUAUUGCUAGGGAGAGACCAGCCCCAUGCCCACCCCGCCUUCCCACUGGAUGAUAGGAUACCCUAUGAACAGCAUCCCCACCCCUUCUCUCCAAAGGAAAAGGAGUCAUAGAGUCACUCAAACAAGGGCAUACAGACCUCAGUCUCCACAGGCUGUGUUCCAGUGGAUGUGGAGUCUGGGUGGGCACGGGACAUGUGGGUGGGAUGUGGUAAGUUUCUUGUUAAAGCACAUGGGUAUUCUAGGCCUGGGCUGGGCAGAUCUUAAGCGACUGGAUAUAUAGCACAAAACAAGUUUGAGAAAAACUAUGUUGAGCCAACGCCAGGUAGAAGGGGCAUUCGUUGAGCAAGUUUUAUUGAGUGUCACUCUGUGGCAGCCCUGGGCACCAGGACUACAGAAAAGCUAGACAAGUCAGAUCUUACAAGGUCCACAAACAAAGAGGUCAGGGUGGAGGGCAGGGGCAGCACUGGCACACAGGAAGUGAGAAUGCUGUGUGAACCUCCCGGAACUUACUGAGAGGCAGGAUGUGGAGCCGAGGCAGGCCAGCAUGACCACAGUGACCAGUCAUGACACUGCAGGGAUAAACCCAGACUAAUUCUUUGUUAUCUGUCUAGCUGACCCUUUUACCCCUUGUGAUAAGUCUAGGGUGUAAGUGAGAUUAAAAAAAAACCUACCCAAGGCCAAAUACCUGCUACAGGCCCCACUGGCUAAGGGGUAAAAAGCCUGGACUCUGUCCCUGAGCCCUGUUCUCCUGCCAGGGUCGUCACCAAAGAUGGGCAAGCUUCUACAAGUCACAGUCUGCAGCACACCCCCAAAACACAAUAGAGCUGUGCUGGGUGUCACCUGCAGUGACAUGGCACUACCUCGAGAGGCAAACGUACCCACCAUCACCUGCAGACACAGGCCAACCCACUCCGGAUGUGAGUCAUCCAGCCCAGGGCCAGAUACAACAGACCCAUCCUUGGUGUCCUGAAAGACGGACACCUAGGACACGUAAACUGGCAGGUGAAGGGGUGGCUUCCCCACAGGCUGGCGCUGGGACAAAGGAGACCAGCACAAUCAGCACGUUCUGCUGACUCUUUAAAACCACUUGCAAAAAGAAACGAAGCUGUGAACACAACUCAGCCACUCAGCUCCCCCUCACCCUCAGUGGCCCUUGUGACUCUGCACAAAGCCCAACUGUGCGCAACUGUAGCCCCGGGGGAGGGGUCUCCAGCAAGCCUAUCCUCUCCCCUGAGUCACAGGGCCGCCACCUCACCCAGCUGAAGACGUGUGCUCCCUGCAUGCAAAGUGCAGAGUUGUCUAAGGUUGGCUGGAUCUGGGGAGCGUUUGCAAGGAGGGAGUUCUUGUCUUCAAUAAACCCCUUUCUAGCAAAACCACCGCUCAAAGGUCCACUCAUUACACCAUGAACUACAAAGUUGAGGUAUGUGAUCACACACAGCAUUUGCAUUAACAAACUAACCACCACCCACCCCCCAAUCCAACGAGAAAUGAACACCAAAGCAAACAGACUGCUAUUGGGUUUUAAUAUUCUGUACCAAGCCCUCUGCUAGACUCUCCGUUCACUGCAUCCUUCACAGUCACAAGCACCCUGCCACCCAUUGUACAGAUGAGGAAACAGGUAAAGAUGAGACAGGUGGAGACUACCCAGGGCCAGAUUCUGAUCUUUAUUCAGGCCCUCACCCUCACCACCCCACCCUGAGAAACAAUCCCAAGGGCUGUCCCAGGCAAGCUAUUCCUCUCAUGCGCUCUCUCUCUCUCUCUCUCUCUCUCUCUCUCUCUCUCUCUCUCUCUCCAUGGACUGUCACUGCACACAUUAUCCCAGGCACUUGGGGGCUAGGAAGAAUCCUCUCAAAGCCUGGCAGUUCACCCAGUGGCACAGACAAAACCUGGGACCGUCACUAGAAGGCCACCUCUUGGCCUGGGUACCUAUCAGGGUGGGCCAUAGAGCACUCUAGUCUCCCUGCCCCUGGGGCUAGCUUAGGCUAGACAGGCAAACACCAUGUCAGACUCAGUCUUUAGCCUUGGUUCCUCCUUCAUAAACAGGAUAUGGGGUAUGGCAAUGUUGCUUUGCCUGGCCAAAUGGAAACUCCAAGACAACCCACGACCCCCACUAAAAGUCAUUCACCUCCUCUCACUAGCCCAAGAC
rnacentral:sRNA from 1 species